GACGACGCUGGCGGCAGGCCUAACACAUGCAAGUCGAGCGAGCGGCGGACGGGUGAGUAAUGUAUGGGGAUCUGCCCGAUCGAGGGGGAUAACUACUGGAAACGGUGGCUAAUCCCGCAUACUCUCGGAGUCACCCAUCUGGGAUUAGCUAGUCGGUGGGGUAGAGGCUCACCUAGGCGACGAUCUCUAGCUGGUCUGAGAGGAUGAUCAGCCACACUGGGACUGAGACACGGCCCAGACUCCUACGGGAGGCAGCAGUGGGGAAGAUUGCACAAUGGGCGCAAGCCUGAUGCAGCCAUGCCGCGUGUAUGAAGAAGGCCUUAGGGUUGUAAAGUACUUUCAGCGGGGAGGCGUUACCCGCAGAAGAAGCACCGGCUAACUCCGUGCCAGCCGCCGCGGUAAUAC
rnacentral:rRNA from 1 species